GAGGGGCAGCACAGGUAGCAAUACUGGGUGGCGACCGGCAAACGGGUGCGGAACACGUACGCAACUUACCCCUAACUAGGGAAUAGCCCAUAGAAAUGUGGAUUAACACCUUAUAGUACGAUUGGUUGGCAUCAACUGAUUGUUAAAACUCCGGUGGUUAGGGAUGGGCGUGCGUCUGAUUAGGUAGUUGGUAGGGUAAUGGCCUACCAAGCCAACGAUCAGUAGCUGAUGUGAGAGCAUGAUCAGCCACACGGGCACUGAGACACGGGCCCGACUCCUACGGGAGGCAGCAGUAAGGAAUAUUGGUCAAUGGACGCAAGUCUGAACCAGCCAUGCCGCGUGAAGGAUGAAGGUCCUCUGGAUUGUAAACUUCUUUUAUCUGGGACGAAACACUGUUUUUCUAAACAGCUUGACGGUACCAGAGGAUAAGCACCGGCUAACUCCGUGCCAGCAGCCGCGGUAAUACGGAGGGUGCAAGCGUUAUCCGGAUUCACUGGGUUUAAAGGGUGCGUAGGCGGGUAUGUAAGUCCGUGGUGAAAUCCUGCAGCUUAACUGCAGAACUGCCGUGGAUACUAUAUAUCUUGAAUAUCGUGGAGGUUAGUGGAAUAUGUCAUGUAGCGGUGA
rnacentral:rRNA from 1 species